rnacentral:rRNA from 1 species
UACGUAGGGUGCAAGCGGUAAUCGGAAUUACUGGGCGUAAAGCGUGCGCAGGCGGUUUUGUAAGUCUGUCGUGAAAGCCCCGGGCUCAAGCUGGGAAUUGCGAUGGAGACUGCAAGGCUUGAAUCUGGCAGAGGGGGGUAGAAUUCCACGUGUAGCAGUGAAAUGCGUAGAGAUGUGGAGGAACACCGAUGGCGAAGGCAGCCCCCUGGGUCAAGAUUGACGCUCAUGCACGAAAGCGUGGGGAGCAAACAGG